CAUAAAUAUUCAUCAUUUCUCAUUUGAAAGUCAUCAAAAUGACUAGUUUCAUCAUAAUAUUCAGUUGUUUAGCAGCAAUUGCCAGUGCUAAUCCAUACCUAAAAAAACCGUAUGCAAUCAAACAUGCACUCAAAGAAUGUAAACAUGAACUUGACAUCGACGUACCAAAAGGAGAAAAGAAGUUAAGCAUAUCAGGACCGUUAAAUCUUCCAAUAUUUGACCCAAAAUACGCAUGUUUAAACAAAUGUACCCUGGAGAAAGCAGGAUUGUUAUCCACAAUAGGUGCAUUUAACAUAACCUCAAUUCCUAAAGUAUUUGAACCAAUUGGUAAACAAUGUGAUGAAAUAACUAAGAAUUUAACCAAUUGUGAGCGUGCACAUAACCUAACAAUAUGUUUGAUUGAAAAAUCAAGAGAAAUGUUGAAUGAAACAGUGAUUUCGUGCGCAAAUCAAACAGAAACACAGUUAAACGUUGAAAAAACAUACAAAUUGAAGGAUUUCCUCAAGGAGAAGAAGUACUACUGCAUGAAUAGAUGUGUUUUGAUUAAAUUAAACGCUGUGGAUGAAUCUAAUGAUGUCAAAGUUGAUAUGGUCAAAGAAUUCGCUCCACCAAACGCAAAUAUACCAGAAAUCAUCGAGGAAUGUUCAGAGGAUAAUAAAAGUUCAAACCAAUGCAAAAUGGUGGCCAAACGUCAACGGUGCAUUAUAAAAAAGAUCAAGAAAUUAGAUUAACCUCAAAAUUUUUAUGUUUUUAGUGUUGAUUUCACUAUUAGUAUAGAAAUAAACGUGUUACAGGAA